CAUUGAUCAUUUCCUUUAUUUUAUCGCUUUAGCUGGACUCCAAUGAUCGAUGUUGAACCAGAGUUCUGACUAACAGAAAUGCCUUUACAAUGAUGCACCAUUAAUACGAUGUAUCUACUUCUGUCCUGGAACUGGUGUCCUUUCUCAUAAAAGGACACUUCAGUUUAUUUACACCUUAGAGCUUGUAUUGGGAGAGUCCACUGGGAUUUUGUUGUUCUCUGAUAAAUUUAUAGUUUUUUCUCCUUUAAUUCUGUUAAUUUUAUGACUCAUAGUGGAUGGAUUUCCUUCUGCUUCUCAUUUCAUCUCUCCCCCUCCUCUCCCUGCUGCCUUGGGACAAAGUAAUGACCCUCUUACUGCUCCGUUGGCACGCCGACCCACGGACCUGCAUUUCUCCCCAGAACUUCAUGUUUGCUGUUCCCUCCCCCUGGAAUGCUGUUCCCUCAGACAUCUGCAUGGCUCACUCCCUUAUUUUGGUUAGGCAUUUUGCUCGAGUGUCACUUACUUAAAGGUGUCCUCCCUUUAGGAGUGGAAUCUUAUUCAUUUGUGGAAUUCCCAGCCCUCUGUACUUCAGAGUGUGACCUCGUUUGGAAACAGGGUUGAUUCCGGUGUUAUCAGGUUCCUGUGUUUAAUGCAUUGCUGAUGAAAUACGCUGAGGGCCCUCCGGCGUGCCGAUGUGUGCUGCGGGACUUCGCAUCCCCCUGGGUUUUCUGAAGCUGUGACGCAAUCCAGCAACAUGGACCCCAUUUGCUGAACAGUUGAAUAAAUGCUUGCCUUCCUAAAUUAGACCCUACGUUUUCCUAAUAUA